GGUACCGCCUCACUCCCACGCGCCCCCCAGCGCUGCGGUGCUAGACAGCUGAGAGAACAGACACAGACCUGUCGGAGGGUCCUCUGCAGGUCCCCCUUCCGCUCUGCCGAUCGACUUCCGCCUCGGGCAGUCAACAUACUGCCAAGGAAAUCUGAUGUGGAAAGGAAAAUAGAAAUAGUGCAGUUUGCUAGCCGGACACGCCAACUCUUCGUUCGAUUAUUAGCUUUAGUGAAAUGGGCUAAUAAUGCUGGCAAAGUGGAAAAAUGUGCGAUGAUUUCAAGCUUUUUAGAUCAGCAAGCCAUCCUGUUUGUGGACACUGCUGAUCGCCUGGCCUCGUUAGCUAGAGAUGCUCUGGUCCAUGCACGCCUGCCUAGUUUUGCCAUCCCAUAUGCCAUUGAUGUACUAACUACUGGAUCUUACCCACGGCUGCCAACCUGCAUUAGGGAUAAAAUUAUUCCUCCAGACCCAAUUACCAAAAUUGAAAAACAAGCCACACUCCAUCAGCUGAAUCAGAUUCUUA
rnacentral:sRNA from 1 species